rnacentral:rRNA from 1 species
UACAGAGGGCUCAAGCGUUGUUCGGAUUCAUUGGGCGUAAAGGGUGCGUAGGCGGCGCGGUAAGUCGGGUGUGAAAUCUCGGGGCUUAACUCCGAAACUGCAUUCGAUACUGCCGUGCUUGAGGACUGGAGAGGAGACUGGAAUUUACGGUGUAGCAGUGAAAUGCGUAGAGAUCGUAAGGAAGACCAGUGGCGAAGGCGGGUCUCUGGACAGUUCCUGACACUGAGGCACGAAGGCCAGGGGAGCAAACGGG